rnacentral:rRNA from 1 species
GAUGAACGCUGGCGGCGUGCCUAAUACAUGCAAGUAGAACGCUGAAGGAGGAGCUUGCUCUUCUGGAUGAGUUGCGAACGGGUGAGUAACGCGUAGGUAACCUGCCUGGUAGCGGGGGAUAACUAUUGGAAACGAUAGCUAAUACCGCAUGACAACAGUUAUUGCAUGAUAACUGUUUAAAAGGGGCAACUGCUCCACUACCAGAUGGACCUGCGUUGUAUUAGCUAGUUGGUGAGGUAACGGCUCACCAAGGCGACGAUACAUAGCCGACCUGAGAGGGUGGUCGGGCACACUGGGACUGAGAGACAGCCCAGACUCCUACAGGAGGCAGCAGUAGGGGAUCUUCGGCAAUGGACGGGAGUCUGACCGAGCGAAGCCGCGUGAGUGAAGAAGGUUUUCGGAUCGUAAAGAUCUGUUGUAAGAGAAGAACGAGUGUGAGAGUGGAAAGUUCACCCUGUGACGGUAUCUUACCAGAAAGGGACGGCUAACUACGUG